AUUUGUUCAAGUUUAUUUUAUUUUGAUUUCUGCUAAAUAAAAACUUCUUGUUAAAAGUGUACACACUGUAUAAUCUCAUUUUAUGCAAUUACAUUGAUCAAUCUACCCCAUCCACCACUCUUUCACUCCUCCGUGUGUGUGUGUGUGUGUGUGUGUGUGUGUGUGUGUGUGUAAUCAUAACAAUAAAAACUAAAUCUGGAAUUAUGCUCAGUUAAUGACAGCUACUUCUGUUCAUGUAGUUUUAGAUGUACUUUAUUGAAUUACUUGUGUUGUUUUUUGUAAUGGACAUAUAUCCUUUUAUCUGAAAUUAUGUUAGUCCUCUUUGAGAAUUUUGACAGAAGUAGGGUGAGUUGGAUAAUGCCUAAUAAACGAAUUUUCCUCAUUUCCAUUCAGCAGGACCUGUAAUCUCUGUUAGCAGUGGAGCUGCUCAGCAAAGGUUAAGCUUGAUAGUGAACAACCUCUUUAUGUACAAAACCGUAUUUGGUAGGCCUCAUUGCUGGUAAUUGUUUCACUAUAUCUUGAUGGAUAUUUAAGCCACAUUGAUUUUUUGGUAUGGGCUGUUUGGAAGGAAUGUCCGAAGUAACUAUAGAUGCUUAGCCUUCUUUUUCAAAGUUUCUAGCACCUAUGUCCCACACACAUUAGGAACUGAAUGUUUAUUCUACUGAACUGAAAUAAUAGAGUUUUUCACAUAUUUGAGACUUACCUGUUAAAGAGAGACUUUGUUUUUUUUUGUUUUACAUCAGACAGAAGUAUAAGAACCAUGGGGGAAUGUUGUUGGAAGGUAGAUUUGACUCAAUAUAAAAAAAAAAUUUAGCCAUUCAGAAAUCAAACAAGUUGCUUCAGAGGUGAAAUAGUCUCCACUGCAACAUGUUCAAGAGAAUCUGGGGGCUUAUUUAAAAGGUCAUAUUGUAAAGGACAUUCAUGCAUCACAGGCUGUCUCUAACAUCUGACCUGUUCCCACUAAGAUACCAUUAUUCUGUAAACUCGAAAAGCCUACUUACUAUUGCUAUUUGAAUUGGUAUUUGAAGGCUUUUUUUUCUUUUCUUUUUUUUUUUUUUUUUUUGAUGCAGUUUUGCUCUUGUUGCCCAGGCUAGAGUGCAAUGGCAGGAUCUCGGCUCACAGCAACCUCCACCUCCGGGGUUCAAGCAAUUCUCUUACCUCAGCCUCCCGAGUAGCUGGGAUUACAGGCAUGUGCCACUAUGCCUGGCUAAUUUUUGUAUUUUUAGUAGAGACCAGGUUUCUCCAUGUUAGUCAGGCUGGUCUCAAACACCUCACCUCGUGAUCCACCCACCUUGGCCUCCCGAAAUGCUGGGAUUACAGGCAUGAGCCACCGUGCCUGGACGAAGGCCUUUUUUUUAAGAUAUCGGGUCUUGCUCUGUGCCCAGGCUGGAAUGCAGUGGCACAAUCACAGCUCACUAUAACCUCAAACUCCAGACUCAAGCAAUCCUCCCACCACAGGCUCCUGAGUAGGUAUGUACCACCAUGUCUGGCUGAUUUCAUUUUCUGUAGAGACAGGAUCUCACUACAUGGCCGACACUAGACUCAACCUCUGCUCAAGCAAUCCUUCUGCCUUGGACUCCCAAAGUGCUGGGAUUAUAGUGAAAGCUUUUGAAUGCUGACUUAGUAGCUUUGCUCUUGCUCACUGUUUUAGUAUACCAUCGAUAAAAUGGGGUCUGGUUAAGGUGAUUGCUAUCAUUUUUCCGGUACUAAGAUUUUCUGAUCCUAUAAUCUUCUACAUGUGAUGAUUUUACAUAAUCAUAUUUCAAUCCAUGUCAGCAAAUAUCCAUUCGUUGUCAAUUAUGUACCAGGUACUAUGUUAGGUACUGAGACAGUGGCGUCACCCAAUCUCUUUAUCCUCUUAGUCUUAGAGAAACACAGAACUGGUUAAUGGGGGAGGUGUCUUCAACCUUGCUUUAACACUGUGAAAACCAGAAAUCAAUGCAUUCCCAAAGGCACAGUUUCUGUGACUGGAAGGUUCAGAUGUUCUGUUUGUGCUGAUUGACAUCACCAAAUAGUUUCCUGUUGGCAUGAUGUGAAUUUCUUUUUUAGGAAGGCUUUCCAACAGCAGUGUAAAGACUUAGAAUCCACAGAAGCCUCUCAAUUGCAUGACCACAUUGAUGUGAAGAGGUGUGACAUUAAUCUAAACAACAAUUCAAAGUCAUCCCAGGAAACGAAACCUCAAGAAAUGAAUGAAAAUAAAUUUCUUUAAAAAACUAUUGAGAAAUGACAUGGUGACAGAUGUCAGUUUCCUACUGAGAUGAGUGAAGCAUGGGAAUACUUUAUUUUAAAAAAUUAAACAACCAGUGAUAACAUGCAAGAAAUACCCAGAAGCACCCUCUCCAAUGCAUUUAUUUUCUAUGUGAAGUUAAUAGAAAAUUUCAACUCACUACCCAAAAUUAAGAUCAUGAAAUUUUAUAUUUACUCAAAUUAAGUUUUAAGAAUAAAGUUUGGAUUUCUUCUGAUGGGUUUUCUCCACCAUUCCAUCUCUGUUGUUAUUCAUUCUGAGUACUGUUUAUUGAAUGCACUCAUGGGGUGGAAAGUCAACAAACCAAGAAAAUGCAGGUGUGGAUGUGAUGAGAUCUGAUAGAACCCACAGUCCCUAAGGAAAAUAAACAGGAGCCAUGGAUUUAAACGAACUUAAAUGUUGUCUGUAACCUUAAGGUAAUUAUCCUUCCUUUCCCCCUUCCUUUGUCUUCUAUAUGCAUGCAUUUAGGUGACACAUAAACAUUUGUACUUAAACAUGAAUUUGCGGUAAUUCCUCAGAAACUUAAUAGAUCUUAUUCACUGCAGAAAAUUCAAAAUUAAUAAUGCCAAGGGCAAUGCCUCACUAAACAAUAUCAACAAGCAAAUGUGUUAAAACCUGUCAUCUUAGAUAAAAUGCUGACCCAUCGAGCUGUUUUGCAUUAUUAGCAAUUUUAUAAGGUUCUAUUGGGAAAGCAUUGCUACUAAAUGAAAUGAAAUAAGCCUGAUUAUUACAUCUAUGAUUACUCUGAGAGAAUAACAGAUAAUUUAAUAGAAACCAUUUUCAGUUGAAACCAAACUUGUCUCACUUUGCAAUAAUUCUCCACUGUUUUCUGCUCUUCAAUACAAUAGUUGCUUUGAAGUUUCUCAAAUUUACUUUCUCUUGGUUUGCAGUACCAUCUUUCUUUUUUUUUUUUUUGACAGCGUCUCUCGCUCUGUCACCUGGCUGGAGUGCAGUGGUGGCACAAUUUUGGCUCACUGCAGUCCCUGCCUCCCAGGUUCAAGUGAUUUCCUGCCUCAGUCUCCCGAGUAGCUGGGAUUACAGGCGCGAACCACCGUGCCCGGCUAAGUUUUGUAUUUUUAGUAGAGACGGGGUUUCACCAUGUUGGCCAGGAUGGUCUCAAUCUCUUGACCUCAUGAUCCACCCACCUCAGGCUCCCAAAGUGCUGGGAUUACAGGCGUGAGCUGCCGCGCCCAGCCUGCUGUACCAUCUUUAUUUUGAGUCAAUAAUCUUUGGCCAUAGCAUUUUGAAAAAAAUGCAUUACCCCACAUUUAAAAAAUUGUGUCUUCCAGUUUUUUAUGGUGUCAGGAUAGUAGCCCCUGAUGUAGCCACUUUUAAUUUCCGUUGAAAAAUCUAUCACAUUUCCUAAAUUGGUAGCCCAUGGGGCACUGUAGGAUGGUAAUAAGCAUUACAGAGUUUUCUCUAAAACAUCUGCACAUCUUUAGUACACCAAGAGGAAUAGAGAAGAUUCUAAGAAGAGGCUAUAGGGCAAGGUUUCCUACGCUUGUUUAACCACAGCUUUUCUUUGUUGUUAGCUAUCCAUGUCUCCAGAAACAAGUUCUAAAAUAACAUUAAAGACAGACUGAACAACAAAAAUACAGGAAAAACUAACUAACACCAAAAAUGAAUGUAACACAAAUAUUUCUGGAUCUUCUUUCUCCUCCCUUAAGGCUCAUCUCAGUGUUAAAUGCCUUUCAAAAUAGUGUAUUUUUUUUCUAAAGUUCUUUUAUGGAAAUUUAAGAGAGGGUCAGGGAGGAUGGAGCACAGCAAAACUUUCUAAAAAUCCAACUUACAAUUUCCCCUUUCCCAAAAUUUCUAUGCCUCAUUGCAUCAACACAAAUCUCUCUCUAACUUGUUCCCUGUACCCCACUCCCAUGAUCCCUCCCAGAUAUUUUUCCCAUCCAUUUGCAAGCUCUACACAUGACUAGAGGUCUAUGUCAUUUGCAUCCUCAGCUACUGUACCUUUCAGCCAAUCCAAAGGAAACUUCUUUGGAUUCAUCGUCUUUUAAAAACCAGAGGACAAUAAAUAUUAAUCCAAUAGGGAGAUUCCUUGGAGGAGAGGAUAUGUGGAUAUUAACUAUGGGUGUUUAAUAAA
rnacentral:lncRNA from 1 species